rnacentral:rRNA from 1 species
GAGUUUGAUUAUGGCUCAGGAUGAACGCUGGCGGCGUGCUUAACACAUGCAAGUCGAACGAAGCGGGAAGGAAGAAGUUUUUCGAAAUGGAUUUUUUCUUUGCUUAGUGGCGGACGGGUGCGUAACACGUAGGUAACCUGCCCUGUGCUUGGGAAUAACUCCGGGAAACCGGUGCUAAUGCCGAAUAAUAUCGCCUGUCGGCAUCGAGAGGCGAUCAAAGAAUUUCGGCACAGGAUGGGCCUGCGCCGGAUUAGCUGGUUGGUGAGGUAACGGCUCACCAAGGCGACGAUCCGUAGCCGACCUGAGAGGGUGAUCGGCCACACUGGAACUGAGACACGGUCCAGACUCCUACGGGAGGCAGCAGUGGGGAAUAUUGCACAAUGGGGGAAACCCUGAUGCAGCAACGCCGCGUGAGCGAUGAAGGCUUUCGAGUCGUAAAGCUCUGUCCUAUGGGAAGAUGAUGA